AUAGCGCGACUUAUCACUGAGUUUGGCGCUGGUGGAUGCGUAGCUGAUCUGAGGGAUCUGGAAGAGCCGCAGCAGGUUUGCCACCUAGGGGAGGGAGAAGAAGGACCUUUGUUAGAAACCCAGAGGACUAGGAGACUCUGGACAAAAUGGCCUAUACUGACUUAUUUAGGCAUAGGAAUAUUGCUUCACUCAGCCUGACUGAAAUGGCAGGUGUCACCAAACAGGUACUGUCAUUACUUCUAGAAUGAGUGCCUGGCUUCCACUGGAUUUAUGUACCACCAUGGAAGGCUUGGUGAUAGGAGCCCUGUCUAUGCAUAGCUUGACUUUGUUAAGAGGUUUCUGGCUAGCACUGGAGAGGCCAUCUCUUCUUGAUACAAUGAUUUUCUCAUCUUCAAGUUAUAUUAAUCAGGACCUGAACCCCUCAGGGAGACAGAAUGAAAGGACCUAAAAAAUAUCUGGACAUUAUUUUCUGGCAGCGAAGAAUCACAGUGAAACAAUCCUAAACUGCUGAAAUUUCCUCUCCCAUAGGGGUAGGAGUAAUGAGAAACUGCUCAAAAAAAAAAAAAAAAAAAAAAGAAAAAAGAAAAAAAAAAAGAAAAAGUUCUUGUUUUUCAAUGAUAGGCUUCAUCUCUAACUCUCCAGGAUGUACGAGAAUAAUUUACAAUCAAGGCAGGCUUUGCAAGAGAACGAACUAGCCAUAGAAUAACAGCAAUGUGGGAAAGAUUCUCUGCAUUGGAAAGGGGCACAAUGAGCUGUAACUUUGGGGAAGGCUGUGGGCUAGAAUAAAACAGCAACUAUUGCCAACAUUUUAAGAAUAA